rnacentral:lncRNA from 1 species
UAAGUGUUACAAAAUUUUAAAAUGUAAUAAAUCUUUGAAAAUGUGUUUUUCUUUACAAGCAAGCAUUUCUCCAAUUUCAGUAAUUAAUUUAUUUUUUAUUGCAAAGUUUAAUUGGGGAAGAAACAUUGAUGUAGAACGAGAGAGUAAAAGAAAACUAGAUAAAUUGACUAGCAACAAACAUGUGAUUGAAUUCCAGUAAGCUUAGGUUGACCCAAACAAAUCAAAGUUGAACAAUUAAUUAAUUCCACAAGGACAAAUUAGAUUACCCAAAUUUGAAACCGUCCGGUAUGCAUGUUGGCCGGCCGGGGUUGGACAAUUCUCUGGGGGAAAAAUAAUGAAAAAUUGAAGAAAUAGUGGUAGUAGUAAUAAUCAACCAAAAAAUUCUCUAAUUUUGGAUCUCCAUCAGUUGAUUAACAUAUAUAUCAUAUCAUAAACGAAGCUAUUUCAUGCAUGAUUUUGGUUUUGUUUUGGGGUUUAAUUGAAUUGGGAAGAAAUACACACUAUUGAUUCAAAACCAAAUGCUUGGAACAAAGAGUACACAAAUACUUGCGCUUGAUCCUGAAACAUAUGGGGAUUAGAAAGCAGAACCUGGUUUGGGUCUCCACGUCCACCGCCUGCACCUUCCCUCCACAGUGAGGGCAAUUUCCGGAAGCUUCUUUUCUCCCCAGUUCUCUCUCCUCCUCCACUUCAUCACACACCAAACACAUUCUUAUUUAAUUCCCAAGUAUUGAUAUAUGCAGGUUAAUUAAUUGGAUUUGUGGAUUUCUCUUUUAUAUAUGCGAGUAUUCAAUUGAGAAUAUUUGAGACAUUUCGGUCGGCAAUCGGCAUAGGCACCCUCGUUUUCGCAUAAGUUUCUUUUUAAUGUACGCGUG